UGCUAAAGUUGGAAGAGUUGCGAACGGGUGAGUAACGCGUAGGUAACCUGCCUACUAGCGGGGGAUAACUAUUGGAAACGAUAGCUAAUACCGCAUAACAGCAUUUAACCCAUGUUAGAUGCUUGAAAGGAGCAAUUGCUUCACUAGUAGAUGGACCUGCGUUGUAUUAGCUAGUUGGUGAGGUAACGGCUCACCAAGGCGACGAUACAUAGCCGACCUGAGAGGGUGAUCGGCCACACUGGGACUGAGACACGGCCCAGACUCCUACGGGAGGCAGCAGUAGGGAAUCUUCGGCAAUGGGGGCAACCCUGACCGAGCAACGCCGCGUGAGUGAAGAAGGUUUUCGGAUCGUAAAGCUCUGUUGUAAGAGAAGAACGUGUGUGAGAGUGGAAAGUUCACACAGUGACGGUAACUUACCAGAAAGGGACGGCUAACUACGUGCCAGCAGCCGCGGUAAUACGUAGGUCCCGAGCGUUGUCCGGAUUUAUUGGGCGUAAAGCGAGCGCAGGCGGUUUAAUAAGUCUGAAGUUAAAGGCAGUGGCUUAACCAUUGUUCGCUUUGGAAACUGUUAGACUUGAGUGCAGAAGGGGAGAGUGGAAUUCCAUGUGUAGCGGUGAAAUGCGUAGAUAUAUGGAGGAACACCGGUGGCGAAAGCGGCUCUCUGGUCUGUAACUGACGCUGAGGCUCGAAAGCGUGGGGAGCAAA
rnacentral:rRNA from 1 species